CUGCCCUUUUACACAAACUCCAGAUGUCUGACUCCCUGAACCUGACCGUCCUAAUUAGCAGAGCCCUAAUCUUUCCUUGACCAUCUCCUGUUCAGAAGUAGAGAAGUUAUCCAUCAACAGUCCCUGCCUGGAAAGAGCUUGGCUUCUGCCCUCCACGUGGCAUGCGGAUUUCCUUUUAUCUAAGAGAAAACCUAGAGUCCACCAGGAAGGCUGAGUGCACACAGAGGCCGGACAGAUCAGCCAUCAUUACUCCCUCCCUGCCGCCUCCUGCCUGUCUUCUAUGCAUAGCUAGCUGUUUCCUAAGGAUCAGAAGAGGAGUUUCUCCCUUGUCUUUCUGGCACCAUCAUGGGUAUCACCGACCCAACUCUGGACAACAUAUGGAUGCAUGCUGCAUCCAUGAACUGUUCACAGGACUCUGGAAACCCCUUCUUUCAUUAAGCAAACAUCUUAAUAAAACGACCUGCCCUCUCCUGCUGUGCAUGUGCAUUGCACACACAGUGGUAAGGCUGAUUGUGCUUAUCCUGACAUGAAUGUCCACAGAGGACUCUGGGCACAACUCUACCACACUAGCAGCAGAUGUGAGUCACUGGAAUAAGUUCUUCAUCAGUAAAGGUGCUGAAAUGUGGAGUCCAAGAGAGCCCCGGCUCUGCACAGAGAAGACACCUGGGAGAUGCUAAUUGAAGACUGAAGAAAAAUGAGAGCAAUUCCAUGGUCUCUGAUCUAAAUUAUACAUUCACCCUCUCCUGGCUCUUUGAGACACAUAAUAGAUGAAUAAAAAGAGCAAAACUUUGGAGCA
rnacentral:lncRNA from 1 species